UACAGAACGCCCGGGCUUCGGCCUGGUUAUUCAUAACCCUUUGUUGUCCGACUCUGUUGCCUCCGGGGCGACCCUGCCUUCGGGCGGGGGCUCCGGGUGGACACUUCAAACUCUUGCGUAACUUUGCAGUCUGAGUAAACUUAAUUAAUAAAUUAAAACUUUUAACAACGGAUCUCUUGGUUCUGGCAUCGAUGAAGAACGCAGCGAAAUGCGAUAAGUAAUGUGAAUUGCAGAAUUCAGUGAAUCAUCGAAUCUUUGAACGCACAUUGCGCCCCCUGGUAUUCCGGGGGGCAUGCCUGUUCGAGCGUCAUUUCACCACUCAAGCCUCGCUUGGUAUUGGGCAACGCGGUCCGCCGCGUGCCUCAAAUCGUCCGGCUGGGUCUUCUGUCCCCUAAGCGUUGUGGAAACUAUUCGCUAAAGGGUGUUCGGGAGGCUACGCCGUAAAACAACCCCAUUUCUAAGGUUGACCUCGGAUCAGGUAGGGAUACCCGCUGAACUUAAGCAUAUCAU
rnacentral:rRNA from 1 species